CCCGCCACUAUACCAGUCUGUCUGUGGCCGAGUAUACUCCAGUGGAGGCUCAGAGCGACCCGGCUUUAGGAAACAGAACUGUCCACACUAAUGGACAACUCUGUGCCGAAAAGUCUGGAACACAA